rnacentral:RNase_P_RNA from 2 species
CAGAAGAGAUAUAACCGCGUGUUGUAUUGUCAUGAUACAGUAUGAGGAAAGUCCGGGCUCCUUCGGAAAAAAUGCCGGCUAACGGCCGGGCGGUAAUUUUUUACUGACAGACAGCGCAACAGAAAAUAUACCACCACUUUUUGUGGUAAGGGUGAAAAGGUGAGGUAAGAGCUCACCGUACAAUUGGUAACAAUUGUAGCUUGGCAAGCCUCAUUUGGAGCAAAAUUAAGCAGUAACUGAAACUCCGAUUGUGACUUCUUUGAAGUCACCCGGUUACGGGUGAAUUGCUAAAAAAACAGGGUAAUCUGUUUUUUAGAUAGAUGGUUAUAUGUUUUUCUUUACGGAAAAACAAGGACAGAACCCGGCUUAUUGUCUCUUCUGUUUU